CCUACGGGUGGCAGCAGUCGAGAAUCAUUCACAAUGGGGGAAACCCUGAUGGUGCGACGCCGCGUGGGGAAUGAAGGUCCUUGGAUUGUAAACCCCCUGUAUGGGGGAGCAAAUUAAAAAGAUAGUACCCCAAGGGGAAGAGACGGCUAACGCUGUGCCAGCAGCCGCGGUAAUACAGAGGUCUCAAGCGUUGUUCGGAAUCACUGGGCGUAAGGCGUGCGUAGGCUGUUUCGUAAGUCGGGUGUGAAAGGCGCGGGCUCAACCCGCGGACGGCACAUGAUACUGCGAGACUAGAGUAAUGGAGGGGGAACCGGAAUUCGCGGUGUAGCAGUGAAAUGCGUAGAUAUCGAGAGGAACACUCGUGGCGAAGGCGGGUUCCUGGACAUUAACUGACGCUGAGGCACGAAGGCCAGGGGAGCGAAAGGGAUUAGAUACCCGAGUAGUC
rnacentral:rRNA from 1 species